UCUCCGUAGGUGAACCUGCGGAAGGAUCAUUAAAAAAAGAGAAACGUCCCGUUCUUUUUCAUAAGAAUGGGUUCUAUUCCCUUAAACCGUGUCUACAUACCUUUGUUGCUUUGGCAGGCCGCCUUCGGGCGUCGGCUCCGGCUGAUAGUGCCUGCCAGAGGGCCCAAACUCUAUGUUUAGUGAUGUCUGAGUACUAUAUAAUAUUUAAAACUUUCAACAACGGAUCUCUUGGUUCUG
rnacentral:misc_RNA from 1 species